rnacentral:lncRNA from 1 species
AUCAAUACUGCAGAUCGUGUUUCGGUGCAUCAUUCGCUUCUUCCGACGAGCUUCCGGUGAACUUCCGGCGAACAUCCGACGAACCCUCGACGAUGCUCCUACGGACUCCCGCCAAACUCCUGGACUUGCAACGAUCCUCUUGAUGAGUUCUGAUGAGCUUCUUUGGCAAGCUCCUUGACUUCUCGAAUUGUUCCCUCAAAACCUCCG